ACGUCUCCGCCAUUUGCACACAUUUUGUAACAAAAAAGUCAAGUUCUUUUAGUUUAUUUUUGACAAUUCACCUGUCAUUUCUUUACGUAGGCCACAUACAUGAAGAUGUAGAUGCAGCAUUUAGUAAGGUUUCGCAAAAACUAAAGUGUGUGGAUGUUGAGACAUUACCAGAACUUUUUGACAUAUUACCCGAACCAGAACCUAUAGGCAAGGUGUAUGAUGUAAAACAAUGGAUGCAGCCAUACCUGUCCAGUUUAGAAAAAAUAUCUUUUCCAUUGAAUUAUAAAUUUGAAAGAAAUCAAGACAAAGUGAAUAUAUUCUAUAAAGGCCCACACUACACCGAUUGGAUACAGAUGGAGGAUAGUAUUUUACCAAGGAAACCACCUGGGAAACCCAUGAACUUAACACCAGACUAUACCAGAAUAAAAGUUGAUAGAAAUAUAAAACAAGUAGAACAACUGAAACGGUUAUUUAAGAAUGAGAAUUCAUUUGAUUUUUGGAAUCAAUUUUAUAAAGCCAUCAAAGACAAUACCAGACAAAUACCAAGUCAAGUUGGAUUUUGGACGAAUUACCCAGGCAAGGAGAUAUUCCUACUAUAGAAGAGACAAAUAUACCUAGUCACUUGAAAGAUAUAAUCUCCAAAGAGACAACAGUACCUCAGGUGGUUGUUAGAAGAAAAAUAACAUCUCAGUCUAAACAACAAACAGCUAAGAGGAAACAGACAGUUAAAAGAAAGAAACAGGCCAGUGUUAAUCGAUCAAAACAAGGAAAACCAAAUGGUAAAAGAAGGGUUGUGACUGUCACCAAAACUGUCAUCAUUCCUGUAAUUGAUGAAGUGAAAAGAUAUAUUUGGCUUUGAAUUUUUAUUUUUAUGAUGAACAUAGCUGUUUCAAUUCUCAUUUUGCUUGUGAUGAUGUUAUUAAAGUGUUUGUGUUCAGUAUUAGCAGUGUUACUGUAUAUACAUGAUAUAUGGCUGCAGACAAUUAAUAUGCACAUUGGAACUUUACAUGCAUGCACACACCAAAUUAUACAAGCAUGCACACACCAAAUUAAAAGGAUGAGCUUUCAUGCUGCAAUUCCAUUCCAGUAUGUAGAAAUCAGGGUAGAUAACUAUGGACUGGUUUUAUGUCAAAUUACCUCCCUUUAUUUCAAAUUAAAAUGGGUAUAUCUCCAUAACUAAUGAAGAUACUGAUCUGAAAUUUCAUUUAUGUCAACAGAUUUAUUUGGCAGAUCCUUCUUUUGUUCACUUACAAUAUUUAUUUUUUUAAUUACUUCCCUUUUACAUUACUAUAAAUAGCUUAUUUUUAGUAACUUUUUAAUUAUCGGCCGUAGGGGAAAAACUGAGACCACUUUUCUGUGGUACAACAUGGAUGGUACCUCCAAUUUUUAGGUGUAUUUUGACAUAUCUUUACCUUGUAAGAUUUUUUUUUUCUUUUUGGUUAAAUUUGUUCCCUUUGUUGUUCCUGUCCUUUGGACUUUGAUAUUUUACUGAGGACCUUCUUGUCCUCAAGGGCAAUGAUAACAGAUGAGCAAUAUAGGGCCAUCAUGGCCCUCUUGUUAUGUAAAUGGAUAUACCUAGCAGCAUUUAAUGAGAUUGGUUUGAAACAUUAUUUAUGUCUUCAGUGGUAAUAAAUUUCUACUUUUAGUUACUUUUCUAAUAUAUUGUUGUAAAGGGUUUUACUCUGUAUCUUCUACAUGCAUAUACCAAUGCAUGAUUACCUCCCCUGAUUUUAACAAAAAAGGAUUUAUCUCAGUACGUAUUUAUAAGACUCAUUUGAAAUUUCAUUAGUUAGACUGAGACAAUCAGGGUAGAUAACUAUGGACUGAUUUUAUAUCAGAUUACCUCCCUUUGUUUCAAAUUAAAAUGAUUGUAUCUCAGUAACCAAUGAAGAUACUGAUUUGAAAUGUCAUUUUUGCCAUCAGAUGGACUCGGACAAUCAGGGUAGAUAACUUUUGACUGAAUUUAUGACUAAUUACCUCCCUUUAUUUUAUGUAAAUGAAUAUAUCUCAGCAGCAUCUAAUGAGAUUGGUUUAAAUGUUAUUUAAGUCUUCCAGGGUAAGGAAUAGUCAUGCUAGUACAAAAAUGCAGCAUUUGAGCCUAGGACCCUGAAACUUGGUAUGGAGAUUGACUAUGACUAGUACAUAAGCCAUAGCCAUAGGUCAAAAGGGACUGUUAAAAGAAAAUAUUUAUCCUGAUGAUAUUUAAAGUGAAUGCCUAUGUGAUCUAUGUCAAAACUUGAUCUUAUUAAGAGCAAUGGUAUUCAGGUGAGCGAUAUAGGGCCAUGAUGGCCCUCUUGUUUGAGUUAUGGCCCUUCUUUCGGACUUUGAAAUUUUACAUCUAUAUAUAUUUGACAUCUAUUAUGUUUACAACUCCUGUCCUCUUCUUUCUGGAGUUAUAGCACUGUUGUGGAAUUUAUUUAUUAUUCUGUCAAGCACUUUCAAGGGACAUGACUAUUAUACAAUUAUGGCAUCAUUUUACCACCACCAAAUGAAGUUUGGGGGUAUAUAGGAGUGAGCUUGUUGGUUGGUUGGUCUGUCAGUCUGUUGGUUUUCAUGGUUUCUAGACAAUAACUCAUGAAAGGCUUAGCAGAUUUAAAUAGUGUUUGGUACACAGGUGUAACAUUAAAAAAUACAGGUGAAAUUUGACUUUGAGGUCAGUUGGUCAAAGGUCAAGGUCAAAAUGACUCGGAGCAGUUAAAUGGUUUCCAAAUGAUAAUUUGAGAAUUCUUAGGCAUAGGAUCAUAAAUUUUGGUACACAGGUAUAACAUCAUAAAAUACAGGACAAAUUUGAUUUUGAGGUCAGUGGGUCAAAGGCCACAAUGACCCUGAACAGUUAAGCACUUAGACAUGAAGAAUAGUUUAACUUAGUGUGCACUGUAUAUCCACUGGGAAGGUUUGUGUUCUCUGUACAUCCACUGGGAAGGUUUGUGUGGGGCUAUUUAUCGCAGUUAGUGGUAGUUCUAGUUCAUUAAGGUGUUAGCCCUUAAGGUUAAGUGAUUAAAGUGGAAUUAUACCCAUUUAUUUCAAGUAAAAAUCCAGCUGAAAUAGAUGUUUGUGUAAAAUGGGUGUUGGAAAUUAUAGCUUUUAACCCAAUAUACUAAACUUUUCAUUUUUACCAGUCAAAAUAAUAACAUUCCAAAUAUGACUUUUCUUAUUUUGACUGGGGCAUAAUGUUACUUUAAUAAAAUUUGACCAAGCCAGGAUAUGAAUGGAACUUCAUAGUAUUAAUCUUUAUGGUGAUUUACAAAGUUAUGAUGCUUAGCAAUAUUUGGUUAAGUCUUUAAUUUCUACUAGCAUUCUUAGCUCACCUGAGCACAAAGUGCUCGGGUUGAGCUAUUAUGAUCAAUCAUUGUCCGGCGUCAGUCCGUCCAUCUACACUAAACACAUCUCCUCUGAUACCUUUUGGUGGAAGUUGAUGAAUAUGUGUAUGGUGGAAACUUAAAAAAAUCUUCUUGUAUGAAACUGCUGACCCGAUUUGAAAAUAAUUUCACGAACAUGGACCUUGUGUAACACUCUACAAAGGUUGUUAAAAUUAUUUUGAUUUGUCAAAAAACAUGGCUGCCAGGAGGUGUAACCAUUUUUCCUUACAUGUUUAUAUCGGAAACAUAAAACAUUCUUGUCAGAAACAGCAGGUCCAAUUUUUAGAUAACAAAUGAUUCUUGGGUGACCCUUUACGAAGAUUGUACAAAUUAUUCUGUUUCCUCAAAAAGCAUUGCCACUAGAUGUGGUGACUUUACCCCUUAUUUAUGUAGUGGAAACUUAAAAAAAUCUUCAUGUUUGAUAUUGUCUUAUCACAUCCUUCCCCAAUGUCUUACCCCACCUUUACCCCCAUCCCCACAAGCAACUAAACUCAGGUGAGCGAUAUAGGGCCAUCAUGGCCCACUUGUUUUGUAUACAUGCUGGAAAAUAAUUACACUUUUUUUGUCUUUCAGGUCUGCUCAGCUCUGCAAAGCCAUCGACUUGAAUACGACUUGAAUACACUGGUUAUUUUCCUUGUACCAACAAUAUGGAAAUAAAAUUUGUUUAUAAAUUUGA